GACGAACGCUGGCGGCGUGCUUAACACAUGCAAGUCGAACGGAAAGGCCUUUUCGGAGGUACUCGAGUGGCGAACGGGUGAGUAACACGUGGGUGAUCUGCCCUGCACUCUGGGAUAAGCCUGGGAAACUGGGUCUAAUACCGGAUAGGACCGCACUUUAGUGUGUGUGGUGGAAGGUUUUUUCGGUGUAGGAUGAGCCCGCGGCCUAUCAGCUUGUUGGUGGGGUAAUGGCCUACCAAGGCGGCGACGGGUAGCCGGACUGAGAGGUUGGUCGGCCACAUUGGGACUGAGAUACGGCCCAGACUCCUACGGGAGGCAGCAGUGGGGAAUAUUGCACAAUGGGCGCAAGCCUGAUGCAGCGACGCCGCGUGGGGGAUGACGGCCUUCGGGUUGUAAACUCCUUUCGCCAGGGACGAAGCGUUUUGUGACGGUACCUGGAGAAGAAGCACCGGCUAACUACGUG
rnacentral:rRNA from 1 species